rnacentral:rRNA from 1 species
GACGAACGCUGGCGGCGUGCUUAACACAUGCAAGUCGAACGGAAAGGCCCUGCUUUUGUGGGGGGCUCGAGUGGCGAACGGGUGAGUAACACGUGAGUAACCUGCCCUUGACUUUGGGAUAACUUCAGGAAACUGGGGCUAAUACCGGAUAGGAGCUCCUGCUGCAUGGUGGGGGUUGGUAAGUUUCGGCGGUUGGGGAUGGACUCGCGGCUUAUCAGCUUGUUGGUGGGGUAGUGGCUUACCAAGGCUUUGACGGGUAGCCGGCCUGAGAGGGUGACCGGCCACAUUGGGACUGAGAUACGGCCCAGACUCCUACGGGAGGCAGCAGUGGGGAAUAUUGCACAAUGGGCGGAAGCCUGAUGCAGCAACGCCGCGUGCGGGAUGACGGCCUUCGGGUUGUAAACCGCUUUCGCCUGUGACGAAGCGUGAGUGACGGUAAUGGGUAAAGAAGCACCGGCUAACUACGUG